rnacentral:rRNA from 1 species
CCUACGGGUGGCUGCAGUGGGGAAUAUUGGACAAUGGGGGCAACCCUGAUCCAGCCAUGCCGCGUGUGUGAAGAAGGCCCUCGGGUUGUAAAGCACUUUCAGUGAGGAAGAACGCCUGGUGGUUAAUACCCAUCAGGAAAGACAUCACUCACAGAAGAAGCACCGGCUAACUCCGUGCCAGCAGCCGCGGUAAUACGGAGGGUGCGAGCGUUAAUCGGAAUUACUGGGCGUAAAGCGCGCGUAGGUGGCUUGAUAAGCCGGUUGUGAAAGCCCCGGGCUCAACCUGGGAACGGCAUCCGGAACUGUCAAGCUAGAGUGCAGGAGAGGAAGGUAGAAUUCCCGGUGUAGCGGUGAAAUGCGUAGAGAUCGGGAGGAGUACCAGUGGCGAAGGCGGCCUUCUGGACUGACACUGACACUGAGGUGCGAAAGCGUGGGUAGCAAACAGGAUUAGAUACCCUUGUAGUC